GCCCUCACUGGGAGGGUGGCCUUUGUCAUAUCGUCUGUGUGCUCAGCACCUUGGAAACUCUCUCGCUAUAUUUGGGACCCUUAAAACAUAAACUCACAGCUUCCCUAGCAGCUAAAUAUAAGCGUAUGACCAGAGUCCACCACGUGGAGCUUGGACUCUGAGGCUCCGAUUCAUGCAGAAGGAGGGAAGAGAGCCGGCGGGAGCGUCAGGGCAGCAGUGGUCACGGGGGUGAGCUCCUGACCCGGCCGAGGGUCUGUGGGGGACACACAGCCAUGGCAGUUUGCUCUAGUGCCAGGCACGCCCACUGCAGCCACACUUUUGUCACCAGGCCAGUUCUGGACAGGGUUCCUGGAAGCUUAGCACUGAGUGUGGGGCUCAGCUCUCCCAGCCCUACUGUGAAUCGCCCAGGUCCCCUUUAAUAAGCCCCUUUGGUGAAGAAUCAACACUUGGCAAUUUUGUUGCCUUCAGAUGAACACCUUGACUUCCUGCUCUGUUUACUCCUUCAGGAUUCAGCUCUGCAAAUCACGCUCCUAGCAUUGUAGUGGCACCUGUUCCUGUUUUCACAAUUAGGAAACCAUCAUUCCUACUCAGCUCCUGAGCCCACAGCUGUAUUGGAGUUCUCUGGACACCACUCCCUUCCUCUGACUUCCCCUCUGCCAGCUUCCCAUGUGGUUUUCUUCUCUCCAACCAAGAGUCAGUGGAUCCCAAGCACUAUUUUAUCAGAGUUAAAGACUGUCUUCUUUCUCAUUAGAAUAGAUUCCAAGUGAAUUCCAACCCAUUUGAUCUUAAGGAGGAGCUGCCAAGUCCCAGUGACAGUUAGUGAUGACAUUAGAAGAAAAUGAACCGCUCAGCAAUUUUGCAUCUCAAUAGUCGGCCCUUCUCUACACACGGCUGAGUUAGAGGUGCUGGAUCCAGCUCUCGUGCCCCGCAAGAACAUGACCAGUGGGAUCAAGUCUUUAGAGUUCUUCAGGCCAAAUGUGAUGCUGUGUGGCUUCUGAAGCCAGGGCUAAAAGGCCAUGUGGUUUCUGCCUUGUUCACUGGAGCAUUUGCU
rnacentral:lncRNA from 10 species